UGUUAAGUUAAUGCACUUGAUUGGAUUAAGUGAGCAAAAUCUGCAUAAAUAUUUUGUCGGGUCCACGUGGUGCCCACCAAAUGUCCUGACCACCACUAAUCUCUCUGCAGUCUUUGAACUUUACCAACCGUGAACCGAGGCUUCCACGAAACGAAGCGCACCUGCUCCGUCUUCACGACUGGAAGUCUUGUUGACCAUAAACAACCCGCGGAUCAUCCUGCUAGCUCAUGAUGUCCAGUAGCCAUUGUUGCAGGCGAGCAGCAGUACUCUUAGCAGGCCAGCCGGCCUAUCAUCUGUUUGAGAUCUAAGUUGUGAGCAGCUGCUGCUUAUAAUAAUAUUUCCUGAUCAUAAAUCAUAAGUCCG